UUUUUAUUUAAAUAACAUUAAACUCUUGAUGUUGUUUGAAAUUGAAAGUACAUGGAUCUUCAGAGCAUCGUAUAAUCUAUUUUUAGGCAAGGAAUGUGGGAUAUUUUGGGCUAGUAUCGUCCUUUUCCAGGUUGACUUCUCUCUUUUUGUAAAGGACACCUGACGAUCGAAAGUAACCCAAGUGAAAGAGGCAGGCCCUCUUCUGGAAUGGAUGCUAGCUUUGGACAAUCUUCGAGGCUCAGAGUCUGAAGAGAGGUGAGGAAUUGAAUGCCCUUGCUGAUUUUCUUCAGAUUUAGGAAGUCAUAAAUUUCAAGUUCAGUGAGGGAUUUGGGAGCAGCAUCUCCUCCUUCCCAUCAGGUGGAAAUGACAACAUCUGGAUCUUCACUUCUGAUCAACAACUUUCUAAGAGAGGAGAGGUUGUGCAACCCCCACUCCAACUCCCAGAGCCGCUUACAACUCUCAACUUUAUAAAUUCCAAGUGAUGUCAGGUUGGGAGGAAAUGAAGUCAAGAUAUAAAGAUGGUGGGAAAUGGAAGAAACUUGAAGCAAAAUUGGGAAAUUUGGGUAUGCUCUGCGAAUGCCUCAGAGAAAUUUAGUUGAAUUUUAUCUGUGAAAUUGUUGUUUUUUGCUCCUAAUGUGCUAUUGAAAGCUCUAGAGGCAGAGCACCCAAUAAUCAACUCCAAUUUCCAGAAGAACACAAAGUCGUCUUCUUUGCAGGUUCUUCUCUACCAGGUCAGCAUCUAUGCAUUGCAAUAAUAUACUCUAUAUAUAUAGAUGUAUGUAUAUGUCUGUAAGUUUGUUUCAAUCUUUCAUUGUACUUGAUUUUCUGGUAAGUCUGGUCAUCAGGUGCUUAAAGUUUUGAAUUUCAUGUUUUAUUAUUCGUACCACUUUGUUAUGAACUUAGGAUUUAGUGAUUGGCGUAAUCACUAUUAGGAGUUUAAUAUUGGAUUUGUUAGGCUUUUCUUGUUUUUAGUGAAGUCUGUUAGAAAUGCCAGCUGGCAUUAAAGGUGAAAGUCUAUAAAAGGGAGCUGAGCUCCCUGAAUUGUAUUGGAUCAGAAUUUACAAACAGAAAUACAAACCAAAAAAUAUAUUGGACAUCAAACUUCCGGGUUGGGGUGUUUCACAAUUUGACAUCAGAGCCACUCCCGGCCGGAAAUGUGCCGACAAGGGCGUCAGGUUCCUAAAGAAGGUGGAUUGUAAGAUCCCACAUCGUCCGGGGGAAAUGAGGUGAUGUGCCUUAUAUAUACUUGUCCACCUCCCUAUACGAAGACGCUUUUUGGGUGGAAACCCAAGAACAAAUCCAUGAGGGCGUGACCCAAACCGGAUUGACAUUUUUACCCCCGUUUUAACUGUUAUUUAUUUUUAUAUUUAUAACAAACAAUAUAUCUACACUUACUUUAUUUAGUAAAAUGACGGAUUUAGCCAGCGUGAUCUAUCUGCUUCUUUGACUAAAACCCUCGUAACGCUCUUACCCUGCAACAACGCUGCCUCCAGGCCGCUCCUCCGCAUGUUUUUCCGAAUCGCCGUACAUCGGCCUUCGCCAUUGACCUAUCCCUCGAGACCUCACCAUCAAGUAUUCGAGGUAUGGAUGUGAAUUGAUCCCAAGCAAAUCAUCCCCACAUCACCCUUUUCUCAAUCCACAAGUUUUCGCUUCAGGGGAGCAACCCACUGCAAGAUAUUUUCAUAGCUUUCGUUUGGGGUUUUUUUUUUGGGGGGGUGGGGGGGGGGGGUGUGUGGGGGGCGUCCUCCAUCUCUUCAAAAUUAACAAAUUCCAUCACUUGGGUCAGAAUCAAGAUAUAAAGAUGGUGGGAAAUGGAAGAAACCCGAAGCAAAAUUGGGAAAUUUGGGUCUGCUCCUUGAAUGCCUCAGAGAAAUUUAGUUGAAUUUAUCUGUGAAAUUGUUGUUUUUUGUUCCUAAUGUGCUAUUGAAAGCUCUGGAGGCAGAUCACCCAAUAAUCGACUCCAAUUUCCAGACAAACACAAAGUCAUCUUCUCUGCAGGUUCUUCUCUACCAGGUCAGCAUCUAUGCAUUGCAAUAAUGUACUAUAUGUAUGUAUGUAUGUAUACGUCUGCAAGUUUGUUUCUAUCUUUUGCUUCAUCAGGUGCUUAAAGUUUUGAAUUUCAUGUUUUAUUGUUUGUACCACUUGGGUUCUUUGGUAUCUGAUUGGUUGAUUAUGUCUGUGAACUUUUAGGGUUUAUUGGGUUUGUAGUUCUUGGUUGUUCGUUUUGAGCAAGAUUUGAAUUUUUGUUUAGAGAAUUGGGCAUAAUUUGAAAACAGUUUUAUAGAAAGGAGAAUAUGGAGUGCCGGGUGGCAGGAAGAGGAGGAAGAGCUCGUCAUGUCAAUGCCAAAAAAGCCUAAUUGGGUACGGACACAUGGUGACCUGAGGAGAGGGAACCUUGCGUUCAAGCACUUUACUGAACUGGAAUUUGGAAACACAUUGGAGAAAAUGAAUUGGAGAUUACUCAUGGGAUGAGUUUCAUCAAAAUAGAUGGUGCCGUCCAUGAGGUUGUAGUGUGGACUAUUCAUCAUAGCAGGCACAAAGAAAUCUACAUUGGAAUUGGAACUCCAUUCUUUACUUUGGAAGAUUGCAAAACCGCUAAAAAUGGCAGUCCUCUCAUGGACAUGCUAUACUCUUGAUACGCAAAUGGGAUUUUAGCACAAAUUGAUAAGGGCAUUUACCAAUGCAACUGGAGAAAGACUCGUAAAAUAUUCGAUUCAUUCAUCAUUGUGGCAGAGAAAGUAACUAUAUAUUCACAAUUUAUUGAAAGAUUUGUUACAUGGUAGAAUUCUUACGUAAUCACAGUUAUAUAUAUAUAGAUAAUAUACAAUGAUAAAUGUAUUUACAGUUUCAGCGUGUUCCUUUCUCUGCUCUCUAUGGGAGGAGGUUAUCAGAAAGUUACUCACCCGUAGUGUCUGCAUAAGCUCAAUUCUGGACUUGUGCCGGAACUGGUUCAUGUGUCAAGCAUGCACGCACCAAGGACCAGGUUGCUCAACCCGCUGCCUGGAGAAAGCUGGAUAUGAUCGGAUAAUUAAUGUUCAAAGAGUGUAUGGAAAACUUGCAACAUGAAAGUUGUAAAUGGAUUGCAGGCUGUGUUUUUAACACAUUUCUUUAGACAUUUUGAUUUAAAUAACAUUAAACUCUUGAUGUUGUUUGAAAUUGAAAGUACCUGGAGCUUCAGAGCGUCUCAUAAUCUAUAUAUAGGCAAGGAAUGCGGGAUAUUUUGGGCCAGUAUCGUCCUUUUCCAGGUUGACAUCUCUCUUUCAGUAAAGGACACUUGACGAUCGAAAGUUCCCCAAGUGAAAGAGGCAGACCUUCGUCUGGAAUGGAUGCGAGCUUUGGACAAUCAAUUAGUUGCAGAGUCUGAAGAGAGGUGAGGAAUUGAAUGCCAUUGUUGAGUUUCUUCAGAUUUGGGAAGCCACUAAUUGUGAGUGCAGUGAGAGAUUUGGGGAGCAGCAUCUCCUCCUUCCCAUCAGGUGGAAAUGACAACACAUCUGGAUCUUUACUUCCGAUCGACAAAGAUUUGAGAGACGUGAGUUUGUGCAACCCCCACUCCAACUCCAAGAGCCGCUUACAACUCUUGACUUCAUAAAUUCCAAGUGAUGUGAGGUUGGGAGGAAAGGAAGUCAAACCUUCCAAGCAGUCAAUCUCCAAUUCCUUAAGAGACGUGAGAUUGCGAAUGUCUUCCGGUGACACCUCCAAUUUUCUGCAGCCCCUAACAGUAAAAGCUUGAAGAUUGGUGAGGUGGCAUAGGCCCUCCGGUAAGGAUUUCAGAUUUGGACACCUGACAAUGUUAAUAUAUUCAAGACAAUUAUUAGUAUUGUCGUGGAAGAACCGGUCUGAUGCUAUUAACUGUAGCCCUUCACAUUCGAUUAUUUGAAGGUGUUUAAGCGCCCUGUAAAGCUGGCCUCUCAGUGAUAACGAUGUCAGAGAUGGACAAUAAUAUACCUCCAAGUGCUCAAGAGAAACAGAAAAAGAAGAUGAACAAGAAACAACGAGCUCCUCCUCCUCCUCCACUAAUGAUUUCAAACUUCCACAAAACCAUAUCUCUAUUCUUUUCAGAUUUUGGGGAAUCUGGUAUUUUGCAAUAUACGUCAGAGACUUACAGUGUUUAAUCUCCAAGACUUUAAGAGAAGGUGGCAGGCCAACAUCUGGAAAAGAAACUAGACUUUCACAGUCAUUUAUGUGAAGCUCUUGAAGAAACGACAACUGAUGCAACCCCUUCGGCAGCUUCGAAAGACGUUCACAUUUGUUUAUUUUCAGAUAUUCAAGCUUACAAGCUAAAAUUGGAACCUGCAGCAACCCCUCCAAUUCUUUUCCGAGACCUUCAACAAGGGCAGAGUUGCCUUCAAUAACCAAACGAACAAGAGAAAUCAGGUGUGGGAAACAUCUAUCCUCUUUUUCCAGUGAAGACGUCAGCUCCUCACAACCACUAAUCUUCAACUCCUUAAUCUUGCCCAAUCCUUUCGUAAGUCCCCCUGCUCCCAACUGCGGCUCCAAAAUAUUUGAAAGCCGCAUGGUCUCUAAUAACUUAAAGUCAACCUCUGCGCUAGUAUGCACAAGCGCUUUGCAGCCAUGGAUGCUUACUUCACUCGCGUGUUCAUAAUUGGCAAUUUCCACCACCAAUUCCUUGCAUCCAACAAUCUCAAGCUUUGCUAACGAAUUAAGUUUCUUCGGCAACUCGCCCUCCAGUUUAGGGCACUUUCUGAUUGAAAGCACUUUUAGGCUAGGGAAAACACCACUUCCCUUAUCCUGAUCGAAAGGCAGCCAUUUCUCCCAGUGUUGCAUGCUCGAAAACUGAAGAAUCUCUAAUACUCGAAAAGGCAAGCUACCCUCUCCGUAGAAUUCAGGACCAACGAUUUCCACGGCAGUCAUUCCCCUGAUAUAAAGUUCUUUAAGGCAAGGCAACUGUCCAACUGGUGGCAAGAGAUGACAACUUGCACAAUUGUAUAAGCUUACACGGACCAUGUUAGAGAACAGAGGAUCUCCAAUCCACGAUGAAAAUUUCAAUCCAGCAUAACCCUCAAUGGUGAGCUCUUUGAGAUUUUUAGGAGGUUUUAACAUGUCAAGCACACCCAACUCCAUUUCCCUCGAUCCGCUCAAAUCAGACCAUUCCAGCUUCAACGAAUCAAGCCUCUCCUUGUCUAUUAACCUGGCCCCGCUAGCAUCCUUAGCAUCAACCACAUUCUCCAAUCUUGAGAGGCACAAUGUCCCUCGGAGAUGCAGUAGGGACCCUAUCUCUCUUAUUCCAGACUGAUCACUACCUUUGCCUACCACAAAAUACGACAAGGAUUGCAGAUUCGUCAAUCGACCUAGAUGCGGAGGCAUUCUGUCCAAUCCACUGGAACUGUUGAGAUGCCGCAAAUUAAUUAGAUUACUCAUGUUUGCGGGCAAUGCCUCCAAUUCAGAACAACCUUCUAAUAACAAUGUUUGCAGAUUGCAAAGAGUGGUUGUUGAUGGAGGCAAACUCUUUAUUUUUGUAUAAGAAAGGUCCAGAUACCGUAGAUUCCACAAAUUACCAAUGGAAUUGGGCAGCUCAGUUAUUUCAUAGCCAUUCAAAGAAAACACCCGUAAGAUUCGCAGUUCUGGCAAUAGAUCAAAUGUAACCCUACGAGUUAGAGAGUUAUACCUUGAUUGUGGAAGCGGCAAGAAUGUCCUCAAAUGUUUAACUCUUGAAAUGGCCUCAAAUUUUUUAACCCCAUCAUACUUACCAAUAAUAUAAGACAUAUGACGAGCCAUUGGAUGCAAGUCAUCAUUUCCCUUAUCCUCCAAUGAAAAGCAUAUUUCAGCUGCAGCCCACCGCGCCAACUCACCAACAAGGUCAUGCAUUACAUACUUAUCAUUGCUUUUGCUUGCCUUUUGAAAUAAUGACCUGGACAAUAGCUCUUGAAAAUAGUCACUGCCUACUUCUUCCAGUUGUUUCUUGUCCUCUACUCUUUGUUGAAUCAAACCUUCUGCCAUCCACAGAAGGAUCAACUGCUUCUCCCCGAACUCAUAGUCAUUCGGAAGUAGGGAACAAUAGGCGAAGCACCGUUUCAAACUCGAAGGGAGAUAGUGAUAGCUCAAUUUUAAUACCGGGAGAAUGCCACUAUCGUCUGAUAAACUCCACAUCUUGUUGUUUAAGAUUUCCUCCCAUGCUUCAACUUGUUUACAACGUAGAAGACCUCCAAGAGUCCUUGCAGCCAAUGGCAAUCCGCGACAUUUUGCAACAAUUUUCUCCUUAACCAACUUAAAAUUUUGCGGCCUUUUGGUAAAGUCCAAAAGGCAAUGUUGCUCAAAGACUUCCCAACAUUGAUCAUCUGUCAUGCAAUCCAAUUGAUAAACAGUGGAUCCCAUCAUGUUUGCAACCUUUGCAUCACGUGUUGUCACAACUAUCUUACUUCCUAAUGCUCCAACACGAAAGGGGGACUGCAAUUUUAUCCAUAAAUCAUAGACACAUGUAUUCCAAACAUCGUCUAAAACAAUUAGAAACUUUUUUCCUGCUAGCUCCUUACUCAAACUUUCUUGAACCUUGUUGAAUUCCUUGAAUUCCGGCAUUGGACCAGAUGUGGCAGAUUCAAGAAUUGCCUUUGUCACUCUUUCAAGAUUGAAGUCAUCCGACACGGAUACCCAUACUUUUAGGCUAAACUCUUUUGUCGCGUCAUCAUCAUAAACAUGCCUUGCAAGUGUUGUCUUUCCCACUCCAGGCAUACCGACAAUGGCAACUACAUGAAAGUUGACGACACGGGGUGCUUCUUUCAACAACAAGUCAAUAAUCUUCGUCUUGUCUGUAUCCCUUCCAAUCACGGGUCCUUCUGGUAGAUAGGAACUUGGUGACACAUGCCAUUCCUUAGUAGAUGGCGUCCCCUCAUUUAAACCAAGUUGGUUUUUCCGUUCCAUUAUCUCAUGUAACCGAUCAGUAAUCUUCUUUAUUUCUGAGCUCAAGUUAUAGUUAAAUUUAACAUCAGAAUACAAUCCCCAUACUUUGCUUGUGGUAGCCCAAUGUUUCUUCUUUAUUUGGCGUCGCAAUAUCUCGGUUGAAUACUUGUCCAAUAUGUCCUCCACAUCAUAAGCCAAGUCUCUAAGACCAUCCAGCCACAAUUUCAUUGCUCGGCUUGUCAACUGCUUCUCCUCUGCGUCAUUCAGUACCGCUUGAAUAGCAAACAACAUUGAAUUCCAUUUGUCUAGCUCUUUGCCAACGCCAAGUAGGCGUCUAAAGUAGCUCAGCGUCUCACGAGAUGUCAACCUUUCAAGUAACACUUGGAGUAAUCCAGAAAUAAAGACCUCUCCUAGUGACAUAGCUUAUAAGAACUUCUUCGGGAUCAUGUUUAUUAACAGCUUCUUCAGGAGAAAGCAAGGUAUCAAGAUUGAAAGAGUGAAGUGAGGCACCCAAUCCAAGAACAAGUAAGCAAAUGUUACGGGGAAGCUUGAGCAAUGUCAACCGUCGAACUGCAAAAAAGUGAAACUUGUUAAGAAAAAGUUACAUAAAUUCUAGUUUUGUUCUCUCACCGAAUUUUCUCAAAGCUUUUAGAAUUUAUCGAAUAAAAAAUUAUGAUUUGUGUCAUAGUUACAAGCUCAGAGAUAUGUCAUGAGUAUAGUAAACAAAUUGGCCUCAGGAUUGUUCUUGUUAGAAGUGUUUUUCUUUUUGCACAUAAAUUUGUAACACUUUUUUUCUGCCAAAAAUAAGAGCCAGCUAUUCCCGUACCAACUUCCAUUGAAAUCAUAACAAGAUGGUUUAUGCAAUGAUGAUUAGUUAUACAUAGAGUUAGGAUUGGGGGCACACAUGUUUUGAGACACACUUUGUAGAGCAUGUUAGGAUUUUGCUCGUUGGUAUUAGAGUCCUACUUUGUUUAGGAUUGUAUUAGAAAAGCUAAAGGUGCACAUAUAGGCAUGUAAACAACACCCUAUACUUACAAAUAAGGUGUGGCUAGAAGCAGAAAAACUAAGACAAGUAAGAGAAGAGAGGGAAUGAGAUUGGUCAUAUGGUUUGUAUACUUUAUUGUUAAUUAAAUAAGUUAUGAUUUCUCUAUCCAGAGAAAUCACAACAGGACGUAGGCAAAAGUUCUGCUGAACAAGGAUAAAUAUUGUGUGUUUAUAUGUUAUCUCUAUUUGCUAAGUUUAGUGUACUGCUAGAUACAUCAAAGAACAUAACCUAGACGGGGAGUUGAAAUUUUACAAUUGGUAUCAAGAGCUUGGUUCAAGGUGUUCUGCGAUGGAAAGAGGAAUGCUGAUAGCAGGUUUAAGAAGCUUAAGGCAUGUGUUAAAACAUUUUGAUGGCAAGGAUGACUUCAUGGAUUGGCAAAGGAUGAUGAAUCAUGUAUUGAUACAUCAUGAUUUAGAUGAUGCACUCCUUGGUGAGACCGACCAUGAUAGAAGCAACAUGGACCAAUAUUCUCAAGAAGACCAAGAGUUCCAUCGAGACUCAUCUCACGAAAUCAAUCAGGUCCCAUGUUACAGAAACGAUGACUAUUAAGGAAGAAUAUGACAACUUGGAGAAGGUUUAUAGGGGCAAAUCCGUGUCCGAUAAAUUGUUUCUCAAGAAUGAAUUAUUCGGGCUUUGCCUGGAAGAAUGAGAUGAUAUUAAAGAUCAUGUAUUCCAUAAUUGCUUGGCAAAUGGAAGAGAAAAACACCAACAUGGGUUGGUCAAAAUCCAAGAAGAAAACGGAAACGAAAGAAGGCUGCUCGAAUGUGGUUAUGCUGAUCAUUAGAAGAGGAACUGCAAGAUUUGGAAGGAGAAGAAAGAUACGAUGGAAGAAAAUGAUGUUUAUCUAGUACAAUCACCGAAUAAGAGAGUGACAAGGAGCUUUUUUAGGUAACUUGGGGCUUCAAGGCUUUCAUAAGUUGGAUAUUGGAAAUCCGAUACACAUUCCAUAUGUGUUAGGUAAGAGAAUGGUUCGAUACCUACAAAGAGGUCAGUAGCAGAAUAGUUUUAAUGACGGAUGAUUGGCCAUGUCCUCUAAAGAGAUCGACAUUGUUAGAUUCAGGAUGUUUAAUGGAGUGAUAUGAGCUUUGCGAAAUGUCAGAUAUGUCCCUAGACUAAAGAAGAAUUUUGAUCUCCUUAGGUACUUUAGACAAGACAGUAUAGUUCUAAAGAAGAAAGACUUGAGGUGACCAAAGGAUCACUGGUGGUAAUACAGGCUGACAUAUAGUACAAUAAGUUGUACAAGCUCAUCGGGACUAUGAUAAUAGGGGGUGCAGUCGUUUCCACAAAGCACAAUAAAAAAGACAAGACUGACCUUUUUAUUAUAGGCUAGGGCAUAUUAGUCAGAAGGGUUUGCAAGAAUUAUAAAAGAGAGGCCUACUAUAAGGCGUGUCAUUUUGCAAACUCCACUUUUGUGAGUAUUGCGUUAUCAUGAAGCAAAGAAAUGUAUCAUUUGCAUAUACCAAUGCAGAUAACCAAAGUAAGGAACAACUUGAAGAACAUGUUGACCAAGGACUUUGACAUGAAGGAUCUACGUUUUGCACAAAAAUCCUUGGCAUGAAAAUUCAAAGAGAAAGGAUUUGUGGUAGAAUCUGGAUAUCACAAGCCAAGUAUAUUCAAAAGGUUCUUGAGAAGUUCAACAUACUAGAAGUAAAGGUAGUUUCGGCUCCUUAAUUCGGCGGCUUACUAUAGAUUAAGUGGCCAACAAUGUCUUAGGUCCAAGAGAGAAACAAGUGAUGGAGAAGGUGCCUUAUGCUAAUGUCUUGGGUUGCCUAAUGUACGCAAUGGUAUGCACACGACCCGACCUAGCUCAAGUAAUCAGUGUAGUUUCCAAGUACAUGGAAUAUCCAGGAAAGUAACAUUAGGCUGGAGUCAAGUGGAUUAUAUGUUACUUAAGAGGUUUUUGGCAACAUAGGAUUAUGUUUAAGAAUCAAAAAGUAAAUUCAGGAGUGGUGGGAUAUGUUGAUGUCGAAUAUGCAGGAGACUUGGACAAUAGAUUGUCAACUUCUAGUUAUGUCUUUAUAUACGCAAGAGGACCAAUCAGCUGGAGGGCACUACUGCAACCAAUUACAACUUUGUCAACCACAAAAGCAAAGUACACAUAUUGCUCUAACCCAAGUUGUAAAGGAAGCAAUUUAGCUUAGUGGCUUGGCUAGCCAAAUGGGAAUCACUCAAGAUUACGUGAAGUUGAAAUGUGACAAUGUAAUUCACUUGGCAAAGAAUCAGGGUUUUCAUGGAAGAUCAAAGCAUAUUGAAGUGAGGUCUCAUUUUUAAUUCUUACACACCAUUCUCAAUUUACGGCCAACAGAUCGAAUGAAGUGAAGAAGAUCAAUGAACAAAAAUUAACAAGGGUGUGUGGGAGGUAAAAAGGAGUGUGAAUAGCUUUACCCAUUAAGGAAUCCCAGAUUGGGUGGAGUCCAAGAAGAUUUGGGUUGGAAAGGUUCACAUGGACGACAAUGCCGCAUAUUUUCUUAUCUAGAUAAUGUCGGCCAAGAAAUUCAAGCGUUGCUUGAACUUGAUCAAUCUAGUUCAUUGAUUAAGGUGGAGGCCCUCCUCACUUGAGAUGCAAUGAGAAGAUAAGAAGUUUUCCAAGGUAAUGGUUCUAGAAGAUUUCUAGAGUUGCUUCAAGAAGGUUCGAGAUACUCUAAGGGUGCAAUAGUCAAGACUUGGUUUAACUCACCAAAGUGGAGAUUGUUAGGAUUUAACUUGUCAAUGUUAGAGUCCUAUUUUGUUUAGGAUUGUAUUAGGAUAGCUAAAGGUGCACAAAUUCUUGUUCUAUAUGGAUUAGGAAAGAAUUCAUGGCGCGUUUACAUAAGGGGAGUGGGACAAGAGGAAUGGGAAUUGCACUCCUCCCAGGUUAUUCAAGUGUUUACCAACACUUGAGGGAAUGAAAUGUAUGUGGGACCCAUCUAAUAUGGGGAAUCAGACUCCCAAUAUACUCGGAAUCAGUCUCCUGAACAAUAGAUGAGAUUUGAAUUCCAUGAGAAAACCUCUAUCUGAAAUCCCUUUUUUCUACCCAAAAUACCCUUAUCUCAUCCCUUCCACCUCUUUCUCUGCUUCUGUGUGUCUCUGCGGGCAGUGACCAAUAUCAAAGGAGAAGAAAAAUCAGAAGGGAAGAAGAAGAAGAUGGAGAAAAUAGAUGGAGAAAAGAGAUGGAGAAGCUAAAAAGAAUUGGGAAAUGGGGUGUUGCGCGGUCUUCACGAGAAAGAAAAAACAAUUGGUGGAUGGGGAAGAAGAAUCAAAAGGGAGCAAGAAGAAGACGGGAAGAAUCAGAAGAAUGGGAGGCUGAAAAAAGUUGGGGGAUGGCUGAAAAGAAUUGGGCAAUGGGGUGCAGUUUGGGCCUCAGGAGAAAGAAAAAUAAUUGAGGGAUGGGGAAGUAGAGCCCACUCCAUAACUUUAUUCAACAAUUCAAACCAUCUAUAUUUCAAUUCAUCAUUUAUAAAUCAUCAUUGCAAAAAUUAGAAAACCCUAAAUCAUUAAUAAGCUUAUUUGUAGAAAAUUAAAUGGAUGAAUACAGUUGUGCAAAAAAAUACUAAAAUGAAUAUCAUUUAAUCUAACUUAAAUAUUGUUUUGUUUUUUGGUGAAUAUUGGUAGACACGUUAUUUGCGGGAAGACCAAAAAAAUAAACGGUUAGAAAAAAAGUUGCUUAAUGUGCUCUACGAAUGAGUAUCAAAUGUGUUUUAAAAAAAUGAAUGUCCCCGAUCCUAAUCCUUAUAUACAAAAUUUCAUGACAAGCACAAAGAAAUAAAUCUCAUAGGGAUUUCGACUAAGCUUUAAUUUUAUUUUAUAUUUUUCUUUUUAUGAAAGGUUGUAUCAAUUCCCCCAAAAACGUAUAGAUCGUAUCAACUAUCACAUUCCCAAUGGAUUUAGGACCAAAGAAUACAAAUGGACCAAAGAAUCCAGCAUAAAGAGUAAAUAGAGAAGGGCAAAUUAAAAAAAGGAUAAAAUACUGAUAUAGAUUCAUAUUAAGGACAUGUAGAUUUGGAUAAGGAGUAAAAAGACAAUACCUUUAAAGGAAAAUUCACACGAGACUUCUUGUUCUUGAAGAUGGAGAAAAGCAUGCUCCGCUGCAGUAGAGUGAUGACCUAUUAAAGAGAGCUUAAAGAAUGUUUAAAGACAGUUUGGGCAUUGGGCAUACAAGAAUAGGGGUUGUUUAUUUCAAUAUAGGAGGAGAGCAUGUUAUGGAUUGUGAUUGCUUUUAAAAUAGUUAAAAGUGUUUUGGGACAAUAAAAAAACUUCAAUGACGAGCCUUUGACUGCUUUUGGAAGAAGAGUUAAAAAAUGUUUUUGAGUCAUAGAAGUGUUUUUUGAAGAAACACAUGAUAGAUGCUUCUUCAAGAAGCACUUCCAAAUACUUUUUCAAUAAGCACUUGGUUUAUUUAUUUUUAUAUAAACUCCACAUUAAAAUCUCCAAUACACGCACUUCUAGCAAAAAUCGUUUAUAAGUGAUUCCUAUACAACCAAUUCCCACUUCUUUAUGUUGUUGAAACCCCCAUUUUUCAAGUGCUUCCUAUAUUCAACUAACGUAUUUCCAGUUUUUGUCAAACAAAAUGCUUUUACUCGUACAAUAAGUAAUAAGCACUAAUCAUACCAAAAGUACUUCCAAUAAGCCCGUAAAAGCGAUUGAAACAAGACCUUUCAUUAUCAUAUAGGUCAAUCGAUUUUUCGAUAUUUUCCAACAUUAGAGGAACAAAUGCAACUGAUAGCCUAAAUAUUAUCCAUGCAAAUUUGAAUAAGUAAGAAUUCAUCCAUAUUAUUUCAAAUUGUAAAUUACAUAAAAUGAAAUAGAUUACCCAUGGCAAAAAAGCACUUACAUGGAAUGGAAGUAUGGAACUAGAGAGAGGAGAGAUGGCUCGCUAACAAAUCGGGACUAAAAUUAAAGGAAUAAUAACUUCUUCAGGAGAGUGUAUAUCAACCGUCCAACUGUAAAAAGUGAAUCUCGUUAAGGAAAAAGUUAGAGAAAUUAUAGUUUUCUUGUUUCACUGAAUUUUUUCAAAGCUCUUAGUAUUUACUGAAUAGAACAUUAUGGUUUCUUUCCUAGUGACAAGCUCAGAGACAUGUCCUGAGCAUGGUUUGUGGGAUAAUAAUUACAUGAUGGAAAUGCAAAAUUUCCUGACAUGCACAAAGAAAUAAAUCCCAUAGGGGUUUGGACUAAUCUGUAAUUUUAUUUAUUUCUUCUUUUUUAUGAAAGGCUGUAUCAAUCUCUAAAAAAAGUAUAAGAUUGUAUCAAUUCUCAAAUUCUUAAUGGAUUUAGGGUUUAGCAUCAAGAAAACAAAUGGACCAAAAGAGUAAGCAGAGAAAGGCAAAUGAAAAAAAGGACAAGAUAUAGAUAUGGAUUCAUAUUUAGGACAUGCAGAUUUGGAUAAGGAGUAAAAACACAAUACCUUUAAAGGAAAAUUCACACGGAACUUCUUGUUCUUGAAGAUGGAGACUUGUUCUUGAAGAUGGAGAAAGACCUGCUCUGACAUAUAAGAAUUGGUUAAGUACUCUCAUCAAAGCACUUGCAGUUAUUUCAAAGACACUUUCAAAUAAGCCCUUGGAUUUUCCAUGACAAAAAGCUUACAUGAAAUGAAAGUAUGGGAGUAGAGAGAUGAGAGAUGGCUCGCUAAUAAAUCCGGACUGAAAAUUGAAGGAAGAAUAACUUGCACUUUCUUUUGCUUUAUAUCAUAAAAAUUUCUACUUCCUUUAUUUGCUGUCUACGGAAUCCCUUUCCACCAUACUACUCCAUCUAUUCAUUCUUUCUUCAAACUUGCUUUUGGUAUACAUUCUUACUUCAAGUAGCAUUGAAAGCAUAUCCUUUGGCCUUCCCUAGUAGUUUUUAUGUUCUUGCGCUUGAUUUCUGUGACGUUGUUUAUGUAGCGGUGAGAGUUUAACAGUUUUAAUAAUUAUAUUUUAUUAGAAGCAAACUCAUGAAACUUGCAUGUUAAAACUCAACGGUUGAAAUCACUCUCCUGGACUUGAAUUUUUCGGCCUGCCGUGUUAGUUUGAUUCCAACUUUAACCAUCACAACGAACAAAGUGUUAUCUUCUGCUUUAAAUCUUUUGAAGGGAAAUGUUCUCUUGCAGAAUGUAUUAGGAAACAAAAAAUUAUUUGUGUUAUCGUACAACGAACUUAAACAGAUUCUUACCUGAAUGUGUGGUCCAGAUAAAACAUUCCAUUCCUUCAACGUGAAAUAUGAAUUUGCUUUAUUUGUAAUUUAUCGUAAGAUUGGAUACACGAGAACCGUGGAAUUGUUCUUAUUCAAGGACGAUAAUAGUUACAAAUAAAUGUUCUCUUGCAGUGCUGUUUGAUCCGACACCUUCCACGGCAGUGCUCGAAUAUACACCAGAUUAUUUUUCACCACAUACGCUUGAUUCUGGACUUCUGCCGGAACUGCUUCUUUGUUACGCACCAGGGGCCCGGGAAGGUGCUCAGCUGCAUUAUUACCAGGUAAAUUAUAGCAAACAAAAUGUGAAACCCAUCGCCCAGAAGAUUAGUAAGAUUCCCAAUUCAUAUUCCAUUAUUUAUCAAAAAAGACACGGAAAUUUUACUUGUAAUUGAAUGAUACCUGCGAGUCCUGGUAAACAUGCGGCGCCUCCUCACAAAACAACUGUCUUGAACCAUGCAUCGUCUCCUGUUAGUUCUGCCGAAUGGCAAUGUUCCAUGCAAAGAGCAACAGCCUGGUGCAAACCCAUAGUACGCCUAUAUGAAAUAUGACAUUAUAAGUUCCAAAUAAAAUUUCCCAUUGAAAUUCUGUUUUCCGAAUAAACUAACUAGUACAAUUUGGAGAGAACAUGAUUAGCAAUUUAUCAUACUAACAUACGCAUCCUUUUUAAGUUUCCACUAUCCAAUCCUUCAACCAGUAAAGCAUAGGGCAAACUGAACUUCUUACCUCAGGAUGUCGAGCUCACUUAGUAACUUCCUAUUUAUCAUUCCACCAAUAAAUUUCCAAACUAUGACAUGAGAAGAAAGAACAAAAGCUAGAACUAGAAAAAGCCUUCUUUAAACAAGCUGUGGCGUUCUACUGGUCAUAUUAAUACUCACGGAUAGCAUUCUAUGACGAUAAAAAUCCAAGCUAUACCUCUUUCACAGUCCAAACUGUGUACAGUGAGUCAAAAUUUAUAUUGCUCUGCUGCAAUAGCUCCCUAAGGAACCCUGUAAGCUUCAGCGCUCCCAAUCCCAUAACCUCCACACCCACCUUGCGCAUAACUUUACCAUUUAAAACUGUAAACACAAUAGUAACCCUGUAACUUUACCAUUUGAUUAAUUGUGAAGAAAAAAAAAAUACAACAAAAUUGUAAAAGAGAAACUAUGCACAUUCCCUACGAAAGCAUCAAGUAUGACCAGAGAUCUUUUCAGUAGUUAAUAAAUCUGAAAUCACGAGAAAGAUCAAACGUAGAAUGGCUUACUUGGAACAAUAGAAGUGACCUGGAAACCAAUGUUUACAACAAACCCUGAAGUUCGUCUUGCUGCAUACAAAGCUAAAGUUGCCUGCAGUUUCAAUAGCAGACAAUGAAUACUGGACCUAGACUCAAUUAACCCAUUUAUACACUGAGAGAUGCAGUUCCAGAUGACAUGACAACUUUGCACAAUUGCAACGCCAUUGGUCCAUUCUUCCCUAUGGUUUAUGGGAAAACAUAUAUAUUAUUAUGGAGGGGAUGGGGAACAGUUUACCUGAUUAACGGCACCGACAGCAGGGACAUUCAUGUCAAAAAGUACUUUGUAUAUGGCUUCUUUGAGCUGCCGUCUCGAUGCUUUAGCAGAUUCAGUAUCUAGAAUAAAAAAUAAGAAAAAAAUAGCACAUUAGGUGGAUGAAGACACUACUUUGUGAAGGAUAACAAGACAAAGAGAAUUGUGCAACUAAUCCAAAUUAUAACUCUAGAGCAGCAACUCACCAUCAUAAUGGCAGAUUGGUAUAGACAAAACCACGGGCUGCGAAGAUGGUUUCACCUGCAUCCUAAGAAGAAACACAAUCACAUAUAUCAGCUAUACCUGCUAUCAAAGAUUCAAAGGAAUCGCAGUGAACCAGCAUGCCACAUGAUAACGAAGGUAGUGCAGUUUCUUUCUUCUCUACUUUUAAACUGAAAAGAGGAAAAGUAUCUCAAAUGUGCUUACUUGUAUUUAUGUAAUUGAACAUGCAGAUUGAAUAAAGAAAUGUAUGCAAUUAACUAAGAGAAAGAGGAUUGCAUCAAGAAGAACAGCUACAAGCUUCUUUAACUAUGAAGUUGCUUGACUAAUAAUAGUGAAAACUAAAAUAUAGGAGGACACACCUGCUAUAAAUAUUCACAAAAAAAAUGGCGGAGUCUUGAGUACAUCGGCGACUCAACAUUACCAAAUUCCUGCGAGUCAGAUCACUUCAGAACAUUUUAGUGAUAGACAUAGCAAGAAAAAAGUGUGCAAUCAAAAGUGACAGGUAUAUUAAACAAUCUAACAAUCAUGUGGAAUGGAAGGUUUAUGCAAAAAAACUUCUUGACUGUGAGCUGAAAUAAACAUCUCACCAAAAAGGUUGCUGAUCGGCCUGAUGGACAUGUGUAUUUGCUCCAGCCAAACUUGCAAUAGCCAGAGCCCCCUUCCCAAGAAAUGUAAAAAUAAAAUGAGGGAACGGUUGAGCUACAUAAACCCAAACGUUUGUUAACAAAACAAAAUCAUAACUCUACUCAUAUUAUUACAGAUGCUAUAAUAGUGAUACUAAAACAUUGAAUAGCUAUUGUUAGCCUACUUAAACAUAAAUACUGUUACUGCGUCAAGAGGCUGGAGACACUCACCAUCAAUGAUAACAAAACCAGGAACUUGAACUCAUUGACCAUAAAUACCCAUGUAGGACAACUGGGGACUCUCACUUGAGAAUAUUCUUCAACAAAAACAAUAUUUGAAUAAGCUCGGCCAUAAAACUCAAAACACAAUUCAAUGCGCAGGCACCAAGUAGCAUAUACAUUAUUUCGACAUCAAAGAACAAAUUCACUAGACAAGUCCAUGGUUUCCUCACCAAAACAAUGGCGUAACGUUUUCUCCAAGAUACUAACACUCAAUUCCAAUUAUCACAGCGAACAGAUACAACCAAUUUAAAUCCCAUUCACAAUUCUGACAUUUUUAUGUUUGACCACUUGAAAAUCACACCUUUGCACAACUUUGCCAAAAAUAAAAAUUUCUGUCAGUAAAAAUUCCACUCUUUACUACCGCUGAUAAUAAUUUAAAUACAAAAAAGUUCAUUUAAUCGAUAAUUAUAGACUUUAGAACUUAUGAACUGAGCUGCCGCUAAGUCUUGAACUUUCCCGGCAAAAAAUAAAAUAAAAUAAAUUUCACAGUAAACUCUCAAUCUUUGAACACUAAUUUGAAUUCAAAUUAUUUAUAUAUAACUGAUAACAAAGACGUUAAAUUUGAAUCCCAAAGUGGGAUUUUUCAGCUGAGAACAUUAAAUUUAAAAAAAAAAUCAAAAAUUGAGAAGUGGGAAAUGCUUGAAAUUGAACAUACUGAAGUGGGUAUCCGAAUCUCAAAUGGGUUUCCGGGAAAGCAAAGGAUUCCCAAUAAUUCUCCUCCUCCAGCUUCUGAUUCUUUAGAAAGAAAAUCCACAGCUCGUUCUCGGAGACGACGCACCGCCACGCUUUGCACACGACGCUCAAUUUCACGGCUCCUCGAUCGAACGCCCCGAAACCCGCCGUUUCCGACGGAGAGCUCGAAGAAGAAGACGACGACGUUGACUCUGAACACGAAACCGUGCGGCUUGACACCAACUCCCACACUUUUCUGAUCAACGUCGUCAUGGUUUUCUUCGGCCCACAACGAUUAGCUUCUUUCUUCUCAAUUUUUGCUGUGGAGAACUUUCUCGGGAAAAUUAGCCGAGAAAAUUUUAGUUUCCAUGGAAACAAAUGGAAGCUGGGAGUUGUCUGGAUUGGUUGGUACGUGCUUGGGGAAACUGAGAAGGCAAAAUUGAUUACGUGGGAGCUUGUUGUCGACACGUGGGAGCUACCAACGGCCAACUUCGAAGCUCGUACUCAAAAUUUUCCAGGUUCUAAUUACUCAACUUGAACCCUUUUAUAUAAGGAAGUCAUUUUCCUAUGGUUUUGCUUUGCCAAUGAUGCCGCCAAAAUUUAAGUUUCCAUUUUUAGGUGUUAAGAAGUAAUUUGGUUACCCUGGUUAUGUUAUCGGAUGUGGCAAGUUUUGUAAUUUUAUGUAAGGAGAGCAUUUUUGUUGGAUGUGGCAAAGUUUGUAUUUCUACAAGUGCGAUUUUUGCAUAGUCCGAGAUACUAAGUGUUAUUGAAUUUCCAUGCAUGGUAACUCAGUGACAUAUGUUGUGUAGUCGAGCACAUGCAUGACAUGGUUGUUUUCAUUCUCCAUUCUUGUUGUGAUUCUUAUUGUGUGAACAUCGAUCUAGUUGUUAUGGUUUUCUUGAUUCUUUUUUUCUCACCCGAGAAUAUUCUUCAACAAAAACAAUAUUUGAAUAAGCUCGGCCAUUAAACUCCAACCACAAUUCAAUGAACAAGCAUCAAGCAUCAUAUACAUUAUUUCAAGAUCAAAGAACACAUUACCAAAACAAUGGCAUAACGUUUUCUCCAAGAUACUAACACUCAAUUCAAUUAUAACAACGAAAAACUACAACCAAUUAAAACCCCAUUCACAAUUCUGACUUUCUUUAUGUUUGACCGCUUGACAUUCUUUUAUGUUUGAAUUGAGUUGCCACCAAGUCUUAAACUUUUCCAACAGAAAAAAAAAAUACAAAAACGAAAUUUCUAAGUAAACUCUCAAUCCCUUGGCACUAAUUUGAAUUGAAAUUAUUUAUAUUUAAUUCAUAACAAUUGAAUUCCAAAGUGAGAUUUUUCAGCUGGGUAGAUAAAAUUGAAAAAACAAAAGAAUUAAGAAAAAUCGAAAAUUGAGAAGUGGGAAGUGGGAAAUGCUUGAAAUUGAGCAUACCUUUCAAGAAAACACUGGAUUCCCAAAAUACUCUUAUUUUAUCCUGAGGAAUCUUUUAACAAUAGGGCUUUAAUGAAAUUUUAUCCUGAGGAAUCUUUCAAGAAAACAAUGGAAACACUCUAUUGAACCGUUAGAUUUGGCUUUAAUGAAAUUUUGUGGUUUGAGAUUCUGUGCUCUGUGAUUUAAUUUCAACCACAGAAUUUCAUUAAAGUCAAAUCUAGCAAUCAAGAAGAUAUCUUCAUUUUUAUUUUUUUUUUUGAAAAAUGGGAAUCCUCUUAUUAAAGGGCCUGUUAUCCUGAUGAGUUUUGCGUUUGCCUACAAUAAACAUGAUCAGAGGUUUUGUUCAAAACAUGAUUAGAGGAUUCAUGUUAGAAAACCGGAUUGACAUUUUUGCCCCCAUUUUAACUGUUAUUUAUUUUUAACAAACAAUAUAUCUACACUUACUUUAUUUAGUAAAAUGACGGAUUUAGUCAGCAUGGUCUAUCUGCUUCUUUGAUAAAAACCCUCCUAACGCUCUUACCCUACAACAACGUGGUCUAUAUGUUUUUCAAAUUUGAAUAAACUUUGGUAUUCCUUUUAGUUUUAAUCGUGUUUAAAUUGAAGUCUUAAUUUCGGUGGUUUGUUCAUAAUUAAUGUGAUAUGCUGUUUUACUGUGUGUUUUAUGUGUUUGUUAAUUUAUGGGAGUCUUCACAAGAAAUGUUGUGCAAAUAUAUUUUGCUUCUAUCAAGUAUAUGAUAAUGUUACAUUCAUUCUUUUAAUGUUUAAUUUUGUAAAUUUAUUUUUUAAUAUUUUUGUCAUAAAAAUUCCCAAGCUUUUCUCAGUCGGUUUGCUUUCCUGAAUUCUGCUUUUUCCCUUUUGCUCCCCGCGUGCAGAUCAGCAGCUGCGCUGUUGUUGUUCUUCUUCUCCUCCUCCUUAAUUCUUCCACUCCAAAAACGUCAUUUCAUCGUAACUUUUUCAUACGACAACGACAUCUCGCAAGGUCGGAGCCUGUAGAUUCGUAUCAGCUGAACCAUCUUCCAUCUGAUAUGACACCCACACCUCAAAAUCAACUGUGCUCAAAGAUUGGAGCCUAGAACAGUGACCCUUUUUUGGCGGAGUUUUGCUGAUUCCGUCCAAUUCCGCCGGAAUUUGGUCUCGGCCCAAGAGAGAAAGUUGAUCCUCUCCUAACGAUCUUUCUACCUAUACUUGAGUUCGUUGACCGAAUUGAAAGUUUUUUUUUUGUUUUUUUUAGUUUUUGGUUUGAGGGUUUUUAAUUUUUUGAUUUUUUGUGCAGGUAAAGGAAGAACCCAUAAGUGAUAUGUUCACUGAAUGACUUGAUAGGAGUGCUCUUCAUUGGGUUAGAGAGGUUCGUGAAGAAAACUCUGGCUCGAUCUCUCCGAAGACGAAAGCUGUGUAGCCGAUUCAUCCCCUCCGGUUUGAAGGGUUGAGGUUGUGAAGGUACGAUCAUCGACAAUAAAUCCCGGGUUAUGGUGGAAUCCCACCAAGAAUUAUCGGACGGCUGCGUCAGGACCAUGCCACUGAUGUCUUUCGCUGUCGCAGCAUGUCCCUAAUCUUAAGCUUCCCAUUAUACUAGCUCAUUCUUUUUUAGUUUUUUUGUUCCUUUUCUUUUAGCAUAAUGUUAAGAAAAUUUUAACGAAAAGCUCAUGAUACUGUUUAUUUUAACGAAAAAUUACAUUUUUACACUAAAAAGUCAAUUAUUGUACUAUUCAAUUUAUCCUUUAUUUUGUCUAUUUCGUUAAAACUCAAAAUUUUCAAACAUUUUUCAUUAGUUUUCUUAAUUUUAGUCGCUGAACAUUUGUAUUAUAUGCAGCUUAUGUUGGGUGACAUUGUGAUUUCUGUUGAGACAGCGACAAGGCAAGCGGAGGAAAGAGGCCACACGCUUAUUGAUGAGAUACGUGUUCUCAUGGUUGAAGGAUUUUUUUCGUUGGAGAACCGAUUAAUUCAGAGGGAUGCUUUUUAGUGUAGUUUGAUGACUUUAAUCGCUGAACCCUCCUGCAGAUACAUGGGUUGUUACAUUUACUAGGAUUUGAUCAUGAGAUUAGUGAGGAGGCCGAAGUGGAAAUGGACAAGGGAGGAGGAGGAGCUCCUUUAAAGAGUCUUGGGUGAAAGGGGAAAUGAUUAAUUCAAAGUGCACAUGAUGCCGAAACUUACACAAAUUCCUAUGAGGAAAAACCAGAUGGUAAUUUCAUCUUUUACAGCUUCAGUUUCACAUUAUUUGUCAUUGGAUUUGCUAAUAUAAGUUUUUAGUGAGAUAAUCUUACUGGUGAAUUGUUAAAAGGAAGGAAGAGAGAAGGCAACCUGCGAUUCUAUAAACCAAAGUUAUAUACAUUUUCUGUGUAUGGAUGGUAAGUUGGUGGUUAAUGUAAUCUUGCGCCUUCACUGUGCUUUUUUUUAUUUUUAUUUGUUAGAUGAUCAAUUGAUGUAUUUUAUGACAGUCGAUCUGCAAGAUGUAAAGAUGAUUUCUUUGUUUAUGUAUACUGUUUAAUUAUAUCAAUGGAAAUUGGUGCUGCCAUUGUGGCAGUAGAUGAAUUUCUGGCUUUUGAGAUGAAGUACUAUAAAAUUUUGAUUUCUUUUUUCUUUACAUGCUUUGCUUUUAAUUUUGCAGGAAUUCUCACGUCGCUUUGAUUAAGUUAUACAUGGCCAUGAUAAGGUAUUGCUCAUCAGCCUCAUCCCCACAAACAUUUUGUACAUGUGUGACAUUAAUAUAUUUUGUUUUCCGAUUGAAUUUGUUUUGAUUCAAUGGGGUUGGUGAGCUAAACAGCAAGUGGCUUUUUAAUCGUGUUUAAAUUGAAGUCCUAAUUUCGGUGGUUUGUUCAUAAUUAGUGUGUUAUGUUGUUUUACUGUGUGUUUUUUUAUGUGUUUGUUAAUUUAUGGGAGUCUUCACAAGAAAUGUUGUGUACGAAGAUAUUUUGCUUCCGUCAAAUAUAUGAUAAGGUUACAUUCAUUCUGUAAUAUUUAAUUCACUUUUCAAAUCCCCGUAGAUAAAUACAUUUAAAUUGUAUAAGUCGCGCGUAGAACGUCGUAAUUUUAAAAAGGCCUUCUGCACAUGCGUGAGCGCCUGCAGGGAGGCUAGUUAUGGAUAAUAGUGAUGCUAAAACAUUGAAUAGCUAUUGUUAGCCUUUUGAAAAAUAUUGUUAAUGCAUAAGGAGGCUAGAGAUGCUCACCGUCAAUGAUAACAAAAUCAAGAACUUGAACUUGUUGACCAUAGAUACCCAUGUAGGACAGCUGAGGACUCUCACCGGAGAACGUUCUUCAACAAAAACAAUAUUUGAAUAAGCUCGCCCAUUAAACUCCAAUCACAAUUGAAUGAACAAGCACCAAAUAGCAUAUACAUUAUUUCAGCACCAAAUAGCAUAUACAUUAUUUCUACACUUACUUUAUUUAGUAAAAUGACGGAUUUAGCCAGCGUGAUCUAUCUGCUUCUUUGACUAAAACCCUCAUAACGCUCUUACCCUGCAACAACGCCGCCUUUAGGCCGCUCCUCCGCAAGUUUUUCCGAAUCGCCGUACGUCGGUCUUCUCCAUUGACUUAUUCCUCAAGACCUCACCAUCAAGUAUUCAAGGUAUGGAUGUGUAUUGAUCUCAAGUAAAUCAUCCCCACAUCACCCUUUUCUCAAUCCACAAGUUUUCGCGUCAGGGGAGCAACCCACUGCAAGAUAUUUUCGUAGAUUUCGUUUUUUUUUUUGGGCCGGGGGGUCGGGGAGGGGGGAGCAUCCUCCAUCUCUUCAAAAUUAACAAAUUCCAUCACUUGGGGGUCAGAAUCAAGAUAUAAAGAUGGUGGGAAAUGGAAGAAACCCGAAGCAAAAUUGGGAAAUUUGGGUCUGCUCUUUGAAUGCCUCAGAGAAAUUAGUUGAAUUUAUCUGUGAAACUGUUGUUUUUUGUUCCUAAUGUGCUAUUGAAAGCUCUGGAGGCAGAGCACCCAAUAAUCGACUCCAAUUUCCAGACGAACACAAGGUCAUCUUGUCUGCAGGUUCUUCUCUACCAGGUCAGCAUCUAUAUGUCAAUGCCGGGUGGCUGGAAGAGGCGGAAGAGCUCAUCAUGUCAAUGCCAGAAAAGCCUAAUUGGGUACGGACACAUGGUGACCUGACGAGAGGGAACCUUGCGUUCAAGCACUUUACUGAACUGAACCAAUGUCUAAGAUUGUUGGUCAUUGAUGAAAAUGAAAUUGGAACUCCUUUCUUUACGUUGGAAGACUGCAAAACCGCAAAAAAGGGCAAUCCUCUCAUGGACAUGCAAUACUCUUGAUACGUAAAGGGGCUUUCGGCACAAAUUAAUAAGAGCAUACACCAGUGCAACUGAGGUUUGGAGAACGACUCUUAAAAUAUACGAAUUAUUCAUCAUCAUGACAUAUAAGAUAGCUGUACAAUUAACCGGAAGAUUUGUUACUGAUAAAUGUAUUUCCAGUUUCAGCAUGUUCCUCUCUCUGCUCUCUUUGGGAGGAGGUUAUCAGAAAGUUACUCACCCUUGGUGUCUGCAUAAACUCAAGUCUGGACUUGUGCCGGAACUGGUUCAUGUGUCAAGCAUGCACGCACCAAGGACCAAGUCGCUCGACCUGCUGCAUGGAGAAAGCUGGAGAUGAUCGGAUAAUUAAUGUUGAAAGAGUAUGGAAAACUUGCAACAUGAAAGUUGUAAAUGGAUUGCAUGCUGUGUUUUAACACAUUUUUUAGACAUUUUGAUUUAAAUAACAUUAAACUCUUGAUGUUGUUUGAAACUGGAAGUACCUGGAUCUUCAGAGCAUCGUAUAAUCUAUUUUUAGGCAAGGAAUGUGGGAUAUUUUAGGCCAGUAUCGUCCUUUUCCAGGUUGACAUCUUUCUUUUUGUAAAGGACACCUGACGAUCGAAAGUAACCCAAGUGAAAGAGGCAGGCCCUCUUCUGGAAUCGAUGCUAGCU
rnacentral:lncRNA from 1 species